CCUACGGGAGGCAGCAGUGAGGAAUAUUGGUCAAUGGACGAGAGUCUGAACCAGCCAAGUAGCGUGAAGGAUGAAUGCCCUAUGGGUUGUAAACUUCUUUUAUAAAGGAAUAAAACGAGGCACGCGUGCCUUUUUGCAUGUACUUUAUGAAUAAGGAUCGGCUAACUCCGUGCCAGCAGCCGCGGUAAUACGGAGGAUACGAGCGUUAUCCGGAUUUAUUGGGUUUAAAGGGAGCGGAGAUGGGUUGUUAAGUCAGGUGUGAAAGUGUGCGGCUCAACCGUAAAAUUGCAAUUGAUACUGGCAGUCUUGAGUACAGUUGAGGUAGGCGGAAUUCGUGGUGUAGCGGUGAAAUGCAUAGAUAUCACGAAGAACUCCGAUUGCGAAGGCAGCUUACUAAACUGCCACUGACAUUGAUGCUCGAAAGUGUGGGGAUCAAACAGGAUUAGAUACCCCUGUAGUC
rnacentral:rRNA from 1 species